GACGAACGCUGGCGGCGUGCUUAACACAUGCAAGUCGAACGAUGAAGCGCCAGCUUGCUGGUGUGGAUUAGUGGCGAACGGGUGAGUAACACGUGAGUAACCUGCCCCCUACUCUGGGAUAAGCCUGGGAAACUGGGUCUAAUACUGGAUAUGACCAAUCACUGCAUGGUGUGUUGGUGGAAAGAUUUUUUGGUGGGGGAUGGACUCGCGGCCUAUCAGCUUGUUGGUGGGGUAAUGGCCUACCAAGGCGACGACGGGUAGCCGGCCUGAGAGGGCGACCGGCCACACUGGGACUGAGACACGGCCCAGACUCCUACGGGAGGCAGCAGUGGGGAAUAUUGCACAAUGGGCGAAAGCCUGAUGCAGCGACGCCGCGUGAGGGAUGACGGCCUUCGGGUUGUAAACCUCUUUCACCAGGGACGAAGCUAACGUGACGGUACCUGGAGAAGAAGCACCGGCUAACUACGU
rnacentral:rRNA from 1 species